CCUGACCGAGCACGCCGCGUGAGUGAAGAAGGUUUUCGGAUCGUAAAGCUCUGUUGUAAGAGAAGAACGUGUGUGAGAGUGGAAAGUUCACACAGUGACGGUAACUUACCAGAAAGGGACGGCUAACUACGUGCCAGCAGCCGCGGUAAUA
rnacentral:rRNA from 1 species